AUAGUACUCCCUCCGUCCGAAAAAACUUGUCAUCAAAAUGAAUAAAAAGAGAUGUAUCUAGAACUAAAAUACAUCUAGAUACAUCCUCUUUUAUCCAUUUUGAUGACAAGUAUUUCCGGACGGAGGGAGUACUUC
rfam:Triticum aestivum genome assembly, contig: Triticum_aestivum_CS42_TGACv1_scaffold_569549_7AS